UCUCUGCCGUCCUCUCCCAAAAAUCUGCGAGCUCGUCGGCCGCCGUGCCCCAAAGACACCACACCUGAUCGAGCCCUCUGAGCCGCCGCAUUCGCCUGCAACAGAUCCACCUGAUCUCGAUCUCCGCCGCGAGCCCUCUGAGCCCUCUGAGCUGUAGGAGUUUGGAAUGGAGUCAGAAAAUUCAACUACUGUAGAAUUCGGAAUGGGAGAAGCAAGUGUCAUUGGAAGUGGAAUUGCGGCCAAUACUGUAAAUCAUCCUAAACCACUACUUGGAAUGAAGUUUAAUAGUUAUGAAGAAGCUUAUAACUAUUAUAACUCUUAUUCAUUGUUGAUGGGUUUUGGAAUAAGGAAGAGCACGGUAAAUUACUCUCGUAAAACUAGAGAAGUGGUAGACAAAAAGUUUGUUUGUGAUAAGGAGGGCUAUAAAUCUAAUAGAGACAAGAUAGAGAUCUCUCUUCGGCGAGAGACGCGAGUGGGAUGUUGUAACUCAUGAUGUAACUCUGUUUGAUGCUUGUAGCUUUGCUGUGGCUUAUAUUCAGCUACUCAUAUGCAGCUAUCUUGUAAUGAUUAUUCAGCUACUUUGGUGUGAUUUGAGCUUAUGAUGCUUGUAGCUUUGCUGUGGCUUA